rnacentral:tRNA from 2 species
GGGGCUAUAGCUCAGCUGGGAGAGCACUUGCGUGGCACGCAAGAGGUCGUCGGUUCGAUCCCGACUAGCUCCACCA